rnacentral:rRNA from 1 species
GACGAACGCUGGCGGCGUGCUUAACACAUGCAAGUCGAACGGAAAGGCCCUUCGGGGUACUCGAGUGGCGAACGGGUGAGUAACACGUGGGUGAUCUGCCUCGUACUCUGGGAUAAGCCUGGGAAACUGGGUCUAAUACCGGAUAGGACCAUUCCUCGCAUGGGGUGAGGUGGAAAGUUUUUCGGUACGAGAUGGGCCCGCGGCCUAUCAGCUUGUUGGUGGGGUAAUGGCCUACCAAGGCGACGACGGGUAGCCGGCCUGAGAGGGCGACCGGCCACACUGGGACUGAGACACGGCCCAGACUCCUACGGGAGGCAGCAGUGGGGAAUAUUGCACAAUGGGCGCAAGCCUGAUGCAGCGACGCCGCGUGAGGGAUGACGGCCUUCGGGUUGUAAACCUCUUUCACCAGGGGCGAAUUUUGACGGUACCUGGAGAAGAAGCACCGGCCAACUACGUGCCAGCAGCCGCCGUAA